rnacentral:rRNA from 1 species
UACGUAGGUGACAAGCGUUGUCCGGAAUUAUUGGGCGUAAAGGGAGCGCAGGCGGUUGGAAUAGUCUGAUGUGAAAGCCCACGGCUUAACCGUGGAAGGUCAUUGGAAACUGUCCAACUUGAAUGCAGAAGAGGAAAGCGGAAUUCCAUGUGUAGCGGUGAAAUGCGUAGAUAUAUGGAGGAACACCAGUGGCGAAGGCGGCUUUCUGGUCUGUGAUUGACGCUGAGGCUCGAAAGCGUGGGUAGCGAACAGGAUUAGAUACCCGU